UUGUCCGGAAUGAUUGGGCGUAAAGGGCGCGUAGGCGGCCUGCUAAGUCUGGAGUGAAAGUCCUGCUUUCAAGGUGGGAAUUGCUUUGGAUACUGGUGGGCUGGAGUGCAGGAGAGGAAAGCGGAAUUACCGGUGUAGCGGUGAAAUGCGUAGAGAUCGGUAGGAACACCAGUGGCGAAGGCGGCUUUCUGGACUGAAACUGACGCUGAGGCGCGAAAGCGUGGGGAGCAAACAGGAUUAGAUACCCUGGUAGUCCACGCGGUAAACGAUGAAUGCUAGGUGUAGGAGGUAUCGACCCCUUCUGUGCCGCAGCAAACACAAUAAGCAUUCCGCCUGGGGAGUACGGCCGCAAGGUUGAAACUCAA
rnacentral:rRNA from 1 species